UCGAGAACUGAGCAGAGCUGGUUGAGCCUCCCAAGUCCUAAAACGCGCGGCCGUGGGUUCGGGGUUUAUUGAUUGAAAUCCGCCGGCGCGGGAGCCUCUGCAGAGAGAGAGCGCGAGAGAUGGAGAUGGGCAGACGGAUUCAUUUAGAGCUGUGGAACAGGACGCCCUCUGAUGUGAAAGAACUUGUCCUGGACAACAGUCGGUCGAAUGAAGGCAAACUCGAAGGCCUCACAGAUGAAUCUGAAGAACUGGAAUUCUUAAGUACAAUCAACGUAGGCCUCACCUCAAUCGCAAACUUACCAAAGUUAAACAAACUUAAGAAGCUUGAACUAAGCUUCCAGUCUCAGGGGGACUGGAAGUAUUGGCAGAAAAGUGUCCGAACCUCUCGCAUCUAAAUUUAAGUGGCAACAAAAUUAAAGACCUCAGCAAAAUAGAACCACUGAAAAAGUUAGAAAACCUCAAGAGCUUAGACCUUUUCAAUUGCGAGGUAACCAACCUGAACGACUACCGAGAAAACGUGUUCAAGCUCCUCCCGCAAUUCACGUUAUCUCCACGGCUAUGACCCGGACGACAAGGAGGCCCCUGACUCCGAUGCUGAGGGCUACGUGGAAGGCCUGGAUGAUGAGGAGGAAGAUGAGGAUGAGGAGGAAUGUGAUGAAGAUGCUCAGGUAGUGGAAGACGAGGAGGACCAGGAUGAGGAAGAGGAAGGUGAAGGGGAGGACGUGAGUGGAGAGGAGGAGGAGAAUGAAGAAGGUUAUAAUGACGGAAAGGUAGAUGACGAGGAAGAUGAAGAACAGCUUGGUGAAGAAGAAAGGGGUCAGAAGCGAAAACGAGAACCCGAAGAUGAGGGAGAAGAUGACGACUAAGUGGAAUAACCUAUUUUGAAAAAUUCCUAUUGUGAUUUGACUGUUUUUACCCAUAUCCCCUCCCCCGCUCCAAUCCUGCCCCCUGAAACUUAUUUUUUUCUGAUUGUAACGUUGCUGUGGGAAAGAGAGAGGAAGAGUGUAUUGGGGGUUGUCGGGGAGGGAGGGCAGGAGGGGGUGGAAUAAAAUACUAUUUUUACUGCCACUCUUUUAUUUUUUCCCCCUACUUUUUCUUUGUGUCCGGGUUUUGUCCCUGUAAAUGCGAUAGCUAAGUACACACUAAGUGAGCAUUUGUUCCUGACUCUCAAAGAGGAUGGUUUGGAGUUCUCUUACGUCUCCUGGUAUUUCCCAAGUCUCUUGGGUUGAAUGGAAGGCCAUGGCUGGUCUCAGGUUACUCAACGCCGAGGAGGGGCUGAGCCCCAGCCAUAAUCUUUUGCUUUGGUUCAUAUGAUACCUGCUUUUCUCGGGCCUGCUAGAGGCAUCCAACGCCCUGGUUUGUAAAUAGCAACCUAAAGGCAUAUUUUGGCACUGGUUCGGGGACAUUCCCCAUCUCUCACCCCUUUUCCCCUUCACAGAUGGUGGUGGGCUUCGCUCUACAAAGAGGACUCUGAUGUGACUCUUGAGAGCUUAUGAGCCAGAGAGCUGAAAACUGCAGGCUUGUGAGUUACAAGGAAAAUGGAUUUAUUUGGUAAUAAUUAAAAGAGAAGAAACAAACCCUCAAACUUCAACUUCUUUAAAAGAAAAAAAAAAAACUGUCCUAUCUUGUUCUGUAAAAUAUUAGAACGCUUUGUUUUACAAAAAUGAUGAGAGAAUUCUUCCACAUGUACUUCUGUGCUUAGAAAAUCUUUACAGACCUC